GUCUGGGUCUCCUACAUCAUGACUCCACAGCUCUAGGUCUGUGUCUGGGUCUCCUACAUCAUGACUCCACAGCUCUAGGACUGUAUCUGGGUCUCCUACAUCAUGACUCCACAGCUCUAGGCCUGUAUCUGGGUCUCCUACAUCAUGACUCCACAGCUCUAGGCCUGUAUCUGGGUCUCCUACAUCAUGACUCCACAGCUCUAGGCCUGUAUCUGGGUCUCCUACAUCAUGACUCCACAGCUCUAGGUCUGUGUCUGUUUCUCCUACAUCAUGACUCCACAGCUCUAGGUCUGUGUCUGGGUCUCCUACAUCAUGACUCCACAGCUCUAGGACUGUAUCUGGGUCUCCUACAUCAUGACUCCACAGCUCUAGGUCUGUGUCUGGGUCUCCUACAUCGUGACUCCACAGCUCUAGGACUGUAUCUGGGUCUCCUACAUCAUGACUCCACAGCUCUAGGUCUGUGUCUGGGUCUCCUACAUCAUGACUCCACAGCUCUAGGUCUGUGUCUGGGUCUCCUACAUCAUGACUCCACAGCUCUAGGUCUGUGUCUGGGUCUCCUACAUCAUGACUCCACAGCUCUAGGACUGUGUCUGGGUUUCCUAAAUCAUCCUCUUCCCUCCAUGUCCUCCUGGCUGCUGCUGUUCUAAGUGCUCCACUGACCUGCUGUUGUCGUCUGUCCUCCUUGGCUCAUCUGAGAUGUUUAGAUUACAUCAUAUUUGAGGACACAUAAUUUAAGGGCCUAUGUAUUUUUCAUGUUUUAUUCACCUACAAUCUUUUCCCCUCCCUUUCUGGCUGCCCUGCCCCCUUCCCUACUCAGAU
rnacentral:lncRNA from 1 species